ensembl:lncRNA
CAGAGCUUUCUCCUACAGGAGUUUGGCACAGAGGAGCAGAGCUGUCUGCUGUGGACCAGGAGGGAAGAAGACUGUUCCUGGCUCCAGCAUAGAUCUAGCUCUCUCAGACCUUGUCCACCCAGCUUCAUUGUCUUGGCAGGGCAAGGAGGAAGCUUGGCAGAGCAGUGUGUGCUUCGUGCUGCUGUUCUCUGCUGGAAGCAGGCUGUCCUCACCGUGUGACACAGUGGCAGAUCACAGCCUGCUGGUCCAGUUGCAAGAGUUAAGGUUGUUUGACUUAUUGGAGCCGAGACUGGCUUCCAGCAGGGCUGGGGGAGCUCCUGUUGCCUCCUCACAACCUACUGUAACCGGUGGGAGUUUUCAGCAUGCCCCAGAGUAGGACAAAGAUUUUAAACCCUUACCCUAAGCCAUGGGGCAAGUAUUCAGGAGGCUUUCAUCUUUGGAUGAAAGAGCUAUUAUUUACCUAUCAACAGUAUAAUCCCCCUCCCUCCUACACGUUGCAGGCAAGCUCCUGGGGGCAAAUGGCACUGUAAUUAAGAGCAAAUAUUUACUAUGAAGGACUAGCUGAGGCCUGGCUGGGCAAGCAGCCAGGAGCCUUGACUGAACUUGCCUUAUGUUUGUUCCCCUUUUGAAAGCAAGGAGUCGAAGUCUUUUGUCAGAGGAUUGUUUGUGAGGCACUUGAUAGUAGGCUGGGCCUCUGAAGCAGCCAGGAACCAUCAGGCUGUUUGUUCCACGCCUAGGAAAUCCCCCACAAGCUAAGUUACUUGUGUCUAGCUAGAGGCACUAAACUUCUUUUGUUAGGGGUUGCUGUGAAGUGCAUCCGCAGAUGAGGAGACUUGCUAGGGAACAAAGCAAAGGGAGAGUCUUGGUGAGACAACGUGCAGGGAGAACUGACAGCCAGCCAAAAGCCCCAUCCAGCUACAAGAAGUUUGUAAGCAGAAUUAUUUUCUUAGCACGUCAUCAUGCUUCCUGCAGAAGCUUGGGCAGUCAGACAGGUUUUCCAUCCUGGUAGGCUAGAAAACAUGGGGUGAUUAUUUAGACAAGAUGGUGAAUAUUACUUGAUGAUUGCCUUGAAGAGAGGGCUGCUGACAGGGGAGAGGGGAGAAAAAGUCUGGAGGCAUGAAAAAGGGAACACUUGAGCCAGAUCAGUACUGGGUAUUUGAAGUCAGAUUCCUGUCUUUUUCCUAUGCCCGCUAAUUCUAAGUCCAAACUAGAGCAGGUUUGCCUACUUUUACAGCUGGAUCUGGGAGGUGUGUAAGUGCAUGUCUCAGGUUCAGCAGAAAGCAGGAAUUUUCCUGCGGUGAGCACAGUCUAACUGCAAGACUGGCUUUGUCCUGGCUCCAGCUCUCCAAGCCUUGAUUCUAUCUGGUGGUACUUCUACACUGAGGAGUAUGUAGAAUUAAAAAGUUAGAGAGUCGUUUUGAAGGUAAUUAGCACAAGAGAGGAGAGACCUGCUACUUGUUUCUGACAUACAGGUCCCACUAUCAGUUCUCUUAUGGAAAAAACAAAAACAAAAACAAAAAACCUCCAGAUGUUGCCUACAGACCCAAGCAGAUUUGUUGAAAUUAUUUCAGGUAGGCUGUGAAACCACACAGACAAAUAUCCAUCACUGGAAAACACCACUGAUCUACAGACAAGCUUGGUUCUGACGGACUCUAUUGUGCCCCGCACCAGACUCCAGAACAUCUGUGUCAUGGGAUGACACCUCUCUGCUGGGGAAGUCUGUUCAAAUUUCUGUUCAGAUCCUCAGGUAAGGUUGAAUUUAUUUUUGUUUCUGAAACACAGAGCAGUAAGAAGCAAGCUCAGGGUCACAGAUGGCAGCACGGCCUUGCAGCAGAAUGCAACAUCCUUUUCUUCCUGGCCUAAACUGUUGAGUAUAAUUUGCUGGGUCAGCCUGCAAAUGCAGGGAUAAAUUUCAUUGGGUGAAGAGAUGUCUGAGCAUGGAUGAAAAACAGAUGAAAGCAUAGUGUAGGUGACCUGCUCAACAUAUGGUUAGAUAAAUUUAAGCAUGUUUUUUAAUGGUGAUUGUUUAACAGUUGGCACCAAUUACCAAGGGAUACACUGGGUUUUUUUUUUCCUGUCACUUAAAGCCUCUGAAGAAACCGUAUAUUCUAAGUGCUGCUAUGCAAGCCAUUGACUUGACCAAAACUGUAUUUGAAAAUUGCAGAGAAUCUCUGGUAUCAAUACAACAUAUGAUGAAAUCAGCUAGACCUAUGGCACCCUAUGGAGAAAUGUUAGAGGUCAAAGGUUUUGAGUACUAGGACGAGGAAGUUACAGCCCCAUAUCUGAGUCAUGAUCUUUGUUUUUCUCUUCUGAGGGGGAGAAAUCUGUGCUUUUAGAAGAGUGUUAGUUUUGCUUUAUGAGUGUUCCCUUUGAUUUCAAGGGGAGGAAAAGUAGUUGUAAAAGAGGCAUUUUUCUCUGAUUUUAUCAACUUGCUGCAAAACACUUGAGAAAGUACAAGUCAGAUUCAUCAUAGAGAAGUGGGGCUAAUUCAGAGAACAGGGAGCCUUUCCCGCCAACUAGUGAAGUUUGGGCUAAGCUCAUCUAAAGCUGAAAAAACUAUCUUCAGCUGAAAAUAAUUGUGGGCUGACUGAGGAGGGAAGUGCAGUGUAUUCUUGGCCAGCUCUUGCUCUCACCUAGGUGCCAACUCAGUCUCUGCUGGAUAUUGUACUGGGCAGCUGCUGUGGAACUGGCUGGCUCAUCUCGGAGCUCU